UACGUAGGGUCCGAGCGUUGUCCGGAAUUACUGGGCGUAAAGCGCACGUAGGCGGCUUGGUAUGUCGGGUGUGAAAUCCCCGGGCUCAACCUGGGAACUGCAUCCGAAACUGCCUUGCUCGAGUAUGGGAGAGGGAAGUGGAAUUUCCGGUGUAGCGGUGAAAUGCGUAGAUAUCGGAAGGAACAUCAGUGGCGAAGGCGACUUCCUGGACCAAUACUGACGCUCAGGUGCGAAAGCGUGGGGAGCAAACAGG
rnacentral:rRNA from 1 species